CAGCAUCUACUUUUCGACGACUUCAUCAACUUGCAUAUUUUCUUUUUACUUACGAGUUCUUAGGAAUUCAUCGAGUCAAACUCGGCGAGUUCUCAAGUUCCGCGUGAAUACCUCUUGGCCGUGGCAUCCGAGCGUAUCGCUGUUGUCGGGACCAAAGUAUUCGAUUUAUCACCUUUAUCGGUUGUAAAGGUCAAAUCAGCUGGCGCGCCUUAAACAUUGAAUCGGGUAUUAGCCCUUUGUGUUUGUAGAUCUACUUUUGCAUCAACACUACGACAAACUAAACGGAGGCUGGAGAAAAGAGUCUACUAAUAAGGCGGGCAAACUGCCCGCCUAGACCUAAAUCAAUGAUUUACUAUGGCGGACCAGUUGACUGCCUCGGUUACUGAAAAUAAAAAAAUUAAAAAAACACGUGGAUAGACCCGCCGUGACAUCCACGGGCUACCGUUGUUGUUGCUCACUGGAUCUGCACCAGGGCAUGUCCUCCACCAUCGAGCCGGAUCUAGACUCCCCACUAGCAGCUCUAGCAUCCUCAAUGCCAGGUGAGGAGGACCGCCACUACCUCGUCGGCUCCCACUUUCGACUUACUGCCGAAAGGCGGGCUCGCUGGCAAGCUCACCAUAUCUGUGAGCCCUGUGGCUGGAUAUAGAGCUGGAGGUGGUGGAGGUGGCCGGAUCUGGAGCUGGAGCUGGUGGAUCGAGGUCACC
rnacentral:lncRNA from 1 species